AGUAGAAUUGCUGGGGCAUAUGGUAACUCUAUGUUGAACUUUUUCAGGAGCUGCCAAAUUGUUUUCCAAAGUAGCUGCACCAUUUACAUUCCCAGCAGCAAU
rnacentral:pre_miRNA from 3 species